rnacentral:tRNA from 1 species
GGAGAAGUGGCCGAGUGGUUGAAGGCGCUCGCCUGGAAAGCGGGUAUACGUUCAUAGCGUAUCGAGGGUUCGAAUCCCUCUUUCUCCGCCA